rnacentral:misc_RNA from 1 species
GAUAGAUCGGAGGAUCACUAUCCGGAAUCUUCCAAUAAGGUUUCUGUUACAACGACUGGGAUAAGUAAAAGCGAAAUCCCUCUGGUGUAUGCAGGAGAUACAGGUGACAAUUCUAGAAUUCUGAGUGACUGCCGUGAAUGCAAAACAAGGUCGGAUGAUUCAGUGGUGGAUAAAGAAAGUGAGUUUGAGAGCGCUUCAGAUGAUGUAGAAAACAAGUUUGAUUCCUCAUCUUUGGUUCCCUUGACUGGUUACAAGGUGCAUUCUCUAACGGUAGAUACGAACCAAACCUGUCAGCUGGUAAGCUCUAUCACGCCGUGUACGGAAGGAAUUUUACUACUUUGG